UACGGAGGAUCCAAGCGUUAUCCGGAAUCAUUGGGUUUAAAGGGUCCGUAGGCGGUUUUGUAAGUCAGUGGUGAAAUCCGGCAGCUCAACUGUCGAACUGCCAUUGAUACUGCAGGACUUGAAUUAUUGUGAAGUAACUAGAAUAUGUAGUGUAGCGGUGAAAUGCUUAGAUAUUACAUGGAAUACCCAUUGCGAAGGCAGGUUACUAACAAUGGAUUGACGCUGAUGGACGAAAGCGUGGGGAGCGAACAGG
rnacentral:rRNA from 1 species